UUUGAAGGAACCCAGCCACGCCGGUUCGGUGCGGCCCUGCCCGUGGGUGGCCAGCAGCGCGUCCGCCUC
rnacentral:antisense_RNA from 1 species